GUCAAGUCAUUUUCAACACCAACUCGCGCCGAGAACGGUACCAUGUUAUUCUGUCGAUUAGAGAUAAAAGACAUUUGUCUGGAAUCAUACGAUUUUAUCAGAUCCAAUGGCAUGAUAUUCCAUAUGAUGUCCGCAAUAGAUAUCGAAAAAGCGCAAAAUACGGAAACCGCCGUUUGUUCUGCACUACCAAUACAACGGACUCGCAUUCGGCAAAUGAGGAGCGGAGAUUUCGGCAGCUGUGGAUUCCGAUAAUGGACAGUGGAUGUGUUCAAUGGAGGCGGCUGACGCUGGCGAGAUAAGCGCGGUUGCAUUGGUCACAGUAACAGAAACCUACCGGUGGCCGAACAGACGGAAAUAGCUGUCAGCCCUCGAAAUGAUCCUGUUCUGUCUUGCCACAUCCUUCCGCGUAUGCUGGACAGAACAGUUCAUUACUGCCGGUGGAUCCGCCCCGACGGAUAUGGAAUUUACAAUGACAUAAGCCAUCGAUAUACGACCAACAGCAGCUACUCCGAGUGCAGAUUAGUCAUCCUAGCACUGAAGCGAAGCGAGAACUAAAAUUGACGAGAGAGCAUUCGAGAGGCACGUGUGCGUACAACGGUGAUGUAACGAUACCGUUCGUUGACUUAAGCAUUCUCUUCGUGCCGAGCAUAUUCCAGCAGACCUCUUCAGUCUCAACAACUCCGAGCAGCAAAAAAGAAGAGGAGGAACGUCGACUAACCGACUAAUCGUGUCUUACAGCCGCAGACGCACUUUUGAUCCACGCCGAGUUCACUUCCAUAAAUAUCGCAGACGGAACAGACUACACCAGCAGACGAGGAGCACAUGGCUCUAAGUCCGAGGGCCACCAUCAAAAAGACACGUCCUGGGCGGCGGACACCGUCGCCGACAUCUGGUUUCGCCAGUGUGACGAUAGCCUCAGCCCGAAAUCCACUUCCGGAACUUCAACAAACAACGAUACAACAUGGGACA